GGGUGUGAUAAUACCAACAUUAAUGCACUGGAUCCCAUCGGAACUCUGCAGUUAAGCGUGAAUGGGCUAGAGUAGUACUGGGAUGGGUGACCUCUCAGGAUGUCUUAGUGUUGCACCCU
rnacentral:rRNA from 1 species